UAGGGAAUCUUCGGCAAUGGACGCAAGUCUGACCGAGCAACGCCGCGUGAGUGAAGAAGGUUUUCGGAUCGUAAAACUCUGUUGUUAGAGAAGAACAAGGAUGAGAGUGAAAUGUUCAUCCCUUGACGGUAUCUAACCAGAAAGCCACGGCUAACUACGUGCCAGCAGCCGCGGUAAUACGUAGGUGGCAAGCGUUGUCCGGAUUUAUUGGGCGUAAAGCGAGCGCAGGCGGUUUCUUAAGUCUGAUGUGAAAGCCCCCGGCUCAACCGGGGAGGGUCAUUGGAAACUGGGAAACUUGAGUGCAGAAGAGGAGAGUGGAAUUCCAUGUGUAGCGGUGAAAUGCGUAGAUAUAUGGAGGAACACCAGUGGCGAAGGCGGCUCUCUGGUCUGUAACUGACGCUGAGGCUCGAAAGCGUGGGGAGCAAACAGG
rnacentral:rRNA from 1 species